ACACCGCAGGAUCCCAAGGUGGGAGGGUCCCGGCCCCUGGCUGGCGAGCUCAAAUUGGGUGGGCGGGGUUACGCCCCGGAUGAUACAAGGGGCAAGACGAGGAGCCAAAGCUGACACUUGGGUCUACAGACCCUCAGGACAGAGCUGUGUCAGCCACCAUGAGAGCCUGGCCCAGAGUGUCCACCAAGCCCACACCUGGGCAGUGUUGGGGUGGAGAUACCAGGGUGCUGAGGCCCUGAGGGUCUGCCUGGAGGCAGGAGUGACGGGGAUUGCUUCUAUAUAUGUCACAAUCCUCACCGAGUCUUGGGCCCAAGGAGCCAACAAACCAACUGUUCACAGCCAGAGGCCUGAACACUGUGAAUGGUCAGUGUCCCUUCUCUGAGCCAGCUAUUUCCAGCCUGGGAUUGGGAUUCCACACCAUAAAUGUUCCUAGGAAAAAAACCUACCUUAAUUACUUACAAGAAGACACCUUCUGUAUCCUAGUAGGUGGCCCAGAGCGAUAAUGCUUUCAACAAACUGGAACAGAGACUCUCCACAGGCCAGCACCAUCCUUAGGCACUCAGGAGUCUCAUGAUAUGCUAAAAUGUACCUAGGGUCUGUUUUAAUCAGGCCUGCUUGGCUCAAAAGCUGGUGGGAAGAACCAAUAGGCCAUGCACAGAAACAGAAUUUACCUGAUCCCCUUACCGUGGAAAUGCUACCUGAGGAGGUUGGGAGCUGGAAAUACUGGGAGCAAACUGAGGAGCUGAAAACCCAAGUCCCUCAAAGGCAGAGCCUGUGAUGUUUCCAUCGGGCAUCUCUCUCCUGUGCUCAACAAGGACCCCAUGCUCAAUUGAAACUUGUUUGAAAGACUGACCUAACCUCUGAGUCAGCAAACUUAUUUUUCUUUAAAGGAACAUAAAAUCCUGAAAAACAGGAUUUCCAGAAAUAUGGAUUUCACUCAGAACGGGAGUUCAAGCUUAAUUAGAAUGGAACCCAAAUAUGGAAAAAUAUGGCUGAAGUGGGACUCAGAGAUACGCCUUUUACAAAAUUCACUUUACCAGAUGUCACUGAUACUUUCUGAUUCUUUUCCAAGAGGAAAGCUGCUUUCUGUUAGUGUCCAUUUGAAUACUGCAAGUUAAAGAAAGUCAGGGCUCAUACUCAUUAGGAUGAUUACUAUCCAAAUAACAGAAAGCAACAAGUAUUGACUAGGAUAUGGAGAAAGGGAGGUCUUGUGCCCCACUGGUGAGAGCAUGCCUGCAGCCACUGUGGAAAACAGCAUGGAGGCUCAGCAGAAGAUUAAACACAAUUACUCUGUG